UGGUACUUGGAUAGUGGAUGUUCAAGACACAUGACCGAAAAUGCCAAUAUCUUCCUUUCACUUAAAAAGAAAGAUGGAGGUGGGCAAGUGACUUUUGGUGAUAAUGGUAAAGGUAAAAUUGUGGGAAUAGGUAAGGUUGGUAAGGAAAACUCCUAUAUUCUUGAUAAAGUGCUUUUGGUUGAUGGUUUAAAACAAAAUUUGCUUAGUGUUAGUCAAUUAUGUGAUAAGAGCUGUAGAGUUGUUUUUCAGUCCAAAUUUCGCUUUGUGUCUAGGAUGAGUGAUAACAAAAUGUUGUUUAUUGAUGAAAGAAUUGAUAAUAUUUAUAUUAUUGAUUUGCAUGCUUUGUUUAACAAAGAUACCAAGUGCCUUAUUUCUAUUAGUGAUGACUCUUGGA
rnacentral:misc_RNA from 1 species